UACGUAGGGUGCGAGCGUUGUCCGGAAUUACUGGGCGUAAAGGGAGCGUAGGCGGAUAGUUUAGUCAGAGGUGAAAGCCCAGGGCUCAACCUUGGAAUUGCCUUUGAGAUCUGGAGUACUUGAGUUCGGGAGAGGAGAGCGGAAUUCCCAGUGUAGAGGUGAAAUUCGUAGAUAUUGGGAAGAACACCGGUGGCGAAGGCGGCUCUCUGGACCGAUACUGACGCUGAGGCGCGAAAGCGUGGGGAGCAAACAGG
rnacentral:rRNA from 1 species